rnacentral:rRNA from 1 species
GAGUUUGAUCCUGGCUCAGGACGAACGCUGGCGGCGUGCCUAACACAUGCAAGUCGAACGGAGAUUUCAGCAAUGAAGUCUUAGUGGCGAACGGGUGAGUAACGCGUAGACAACCUACCUUCUAGAUGGGGACAACACUGCGAAAGUGGUGCUAAUACCGAAUGUUGUAUCGAAGCUGCAUAGCUUUGCUACUAAAGAUGGCCUCUAUUCAUAAGCUAUCACUAGAAGAUGGGUCUGCGUCUGAUUAGCUAGUUGGUGAGGUAAUGGCUCACCAAGGCGACGAUCAGUAGCCGGUCUGAGAGGAUGAACGGCCACAUUGGGACUGAGACAC